rnacentral:ribozyme from 1 species
UUUUUUUUUUUUUUUUUUUUUUUUUUUUUGCAUUUUUCGAAG